UACGUAGGGUGCAAGCGUUAAUCGGAAUUACUGGGCGUAAAGCGUGCGCAGGCGGUGAUGUAAGUCAGGUGUGAAAUCCCCGGGCUUAACCUGGGAACUGCAUUUGAGACUGCAUCGCUGGAGUGCGGCAGAGGGGGAUGGAAUUCCGCGUGUAGCAGUGAAAUGCGUAGAGAUGUGGAGGAACACCGAUGGCGAAGGCAGCCCCCUGGGUCAAGACUGACGCUGAGGCACGAAAGCGUGGGGAGCAAACAGG
rnacentral:rRNA from 1 species